UAGGGAGAAGGUUUGGUACCAUUAAAACGUUUAAUCCCGCUGCAAAUGUUUGCACCUGUCCUAAGUCAGGAAUCUGAUGUACAGUAGUUGUCGUUUGUUUAUGUAAUUUAUACGUGUUUCUCGUUUUUUAUAUAGAUUAUACAGUUGGUUUUCCCGUUUGAAUGGUUUUACACUAGUAAUUUUGGGGCCCUUUAUAGCUUUUUGUUCGGUGUGAGCCAAGGCUCCGUGUUGAAGGCCGUACAUUGACCUAUAAUGGUUUACUUUUAUAAAUUGUUAUUUGGAUAGAGAGUUGUCUCAUUGGCACUCACACCACAUCUUCCUAUAUCUAUUG
rnacentral:lncRNA from 1 species